AGAGUUUGAUCCUGGCUCAGAUUGAACGCUGGCGGUAUGCUUAACACAUGCAAGUCGAACGGAAACAGGACGCUGUGAUCUCUUCGGAGUGAACUUGUCGCUGUCGAGUGGCGGACGGGUGAGUAAUACUUGGGAAUCUACCUAGUAGUGGGGGACAACACGGGGAAACUCGUGCUAAUACCGCAUACGCCCUACGGGGGAAAGCGGGGGAUCUUCGGACCUCGCGCUAUUAGAUGAGCCCAAGUCGGAUUAGCUUGUUGGUGGGGUAACGGCCUACCAAGGCAUCGAUCCGUAGCUGGUCUGAGAGGACGAUCAGCCACACUGGGACUGAGACACGGCCCAGACUCCUACGGGAGGCAGCAGUGGGGAAUAUUGGGCAAUGGGGGCAACCCUGAUCCAGCAAUACCGCGUGUGUGAAGAAGGCCUGCGGGUUGUAAAGCACUUUCAGUAGAGAAGAAAAACCUUAGGGCUAAUAGUCCUGAGGCUUGACGAACCUACAGAAG
rnacentral:rRNA from 1 species